UCAACGGACCGAGGGAGCUGCAAGGAAGUAAAUUCCCAUUUCCUCUGCCUUCCUCCCAUGUAUUCGUUCAUAAUAAGAAAUAAGCAACACAGCCUUAAAUCUUGUCAAAGAGACAGGAAACCGCUCUGUUUCUCUGAGAGAAAGCCAUUGUCCAGUGAGUUUAUGCACGGAGCACUCCGCACUUUUCCGCCUCCUCAGUUCUGACCCUUGCUCCGUCUUCCUCCCUCUGCUCACCUGUGUCCUCCUCCACCCCUCUCUCUUGCCCUGGCUCCGAAGAAAGAAGAAAGGGAAGAGAAGCUACAAUAGCCCAGAAAUUUGGCUGAAAAGAGCCAUUUCCAUUCCCCAAAGUGUCUCUGGACGUUGUCUCCAUCCAGUGAAAGCCCUGCUCCUCAUAUCUGGAUUGCCAAGGUUUGAAAAAGGAUGCUCUCAUGAGAGGAAAUGACUCAUAAACGGACUGCCCUGCACACUACUAAAUAAAGCUGCACAUUUUCCUCUUAGCCUUUACCUCUGUUGUAAUAUCUGCUUCAAGCUCAUGUCUUGGAGAAUAAGCCUCAACACAUACUUUCUAUUCAUUUUGUAAAAUAGUGGAUCUCAGAAAAAAUAAAGAAAUCACCCAAGAAUAA